rnacentral:rRNA from 1 species
UACGGAAGGCAGCAGUGGGGAAUAUUGCACAAUGGGCGAAAGCCUGAUGCAGCUAUGCCGCGUGUAUGAAGAAGGCCUUAGGGUUGUAAAGUACUUUCAUCGGGGAGGAAAAACAAAACUAAUAAUUUUAUUUCUUGACGUUACCCGAAAAAGAAGCACCGGCUAACUCCGUGCCAGCAGCCGCGGUAAUACGGAGGGUGCUAGCGUUAAUCAGAAUUACUGGGCGUAAAGAGCACGUAGGUGGUUUUUUUAAGUUCAGAUGUGAAAUCCCUGGGCUUAAACCUAGGAACUGCAUUUUGAAACUGAAAUACUAGAGUAUCGUAGAGGGAGGUAGAAUUCUAGGUGUAGCGGUGAAAUGCGUAGAUAUCUGGAGGAAUACCUGUGGCGAAAGCGGCCUCCUAAACGAAUACUGACACUGAGGUGCGAAAGCGUGGGGAGCAAAACAGGGAUUAGAUACC